AGACAACCUCACGGAGGUUGGCUGAAUUUUCGCAAAGUGAAUUUCACUUAAAUAUUAGAUAUUAUUUUCUUCGUUUCAGCUUUGGGUGAUGAAAGAUUUGCAUUAUAGUUAAAUCGCAUAUUCUAAAAGUGCUUUAUCUUGGAAUAUAUUAUUUGGUGUUAUUUGCUAUUCUUUAGAAAAAUAUACAGCGCUUCGCAAAAAUAAGAUAUCAUGGCGGUACCCACUACCGGUGUAGUUGUGCCUCGAAACUUUCGUUUAUUAGAAGAAUUAGAACAAGGUCAAAAAGGUGUAGGUGAUGGUACAAUCAGUUGGGGUUUGGAAAACGAUGAUGACAUGACUCUUACACAUUGGACUGGAAUGAUAAUUGGACCACCUAGAACACCAUAUGAAAAUAGAAUGUAUAGUUUGAAAAUUGAUUGUGAUCAGAGAUAUCCAGAUGAUGCUCCCAAUGUAAGAUUUUUAAGCAGGAUCAAUAUGAAUUGUAUCAACAGUACUACUGGUGCAGUUGAUAAUCGCAAUGUACCAGUACUUGCAAAAUGGCAACGAGAAUACACAAUUAAGACAGUUCUGCAAGAACUUCGCCGCUUAAUGACAUUGAAGGAAAAUAUGAAAUUGUCUCAACCCCCAGAGGGUAGCACUUUUUAGCCUAACCACUAUGUAAACACUACACCUCUUCCUUUCUGCGGUAGCAUGGGGCGAGAUUCAAUGAAGUUAUAAAUUUAAUUUUUCG
rnacentral:misc_RNA from 1 species